rnacentral:rRNA from 1 species
UACGUAGGGUGCAAGCGUUGUCCGGAAUCAUUGGGCGUAAAGCGCGUGUAGGCGGUCCGGUAAGUCCGCUGUGAAAGUCGGGGGCUCAACCCUCGGAUGCCGGUGGAUACUGUCGGGCUUGAGUACGGAAGAGGCGAGUGGAAUUCCUGGUGUAGCGGUGAAAUGCGCAGAUAUCAGGAGGAACACCAAUUGCGCAGGCAGCUCGCUGGGACGUUACUGACGCUGAGACGCGAAAGCGUGGGGAGCAAACAGG